AUUGAACGCUAGCGGGAUGCCUUACACAUGCAAGUCGAACGGCAGCACGGACUUCGGUCUGGUGGCGAGUGGCGAACGGGUGAGUAAUGUAUCGGAACGUGCCCAGUAGCGGGGGAUAACUACGCGAAAGCGUAGCUAAUACCGCAUACGCCCUACGGGGGAAAGCAGGGGAUCGCAAGACCUUGCACUAUUGGAGCGGCCGAUAUCGGAUUAGCUAGUUGGUGGGGUAACGGCUCACCAAGGCGACGAUCCGUAGCUGGUUUGAGAGGACGACCAGCCACACUGGGACUGAGACACGGCCCAGACUCCUACGGGAGGCAGCAGUGAGGAAUUUUGGACAAUGGGGGAAACCCUGAUCCAGCCAUCCCGCGUGUGCGAUGAAGGCCUUCGGGUUGUAAAGCACUUUUGGCAGGAAAGAAACGUCAUGGGUUAAUACCCCGUGAAACUGACGGUACCUGCAGAAUAAGCACCGGCUAACUACGUGCCAGCAGCCGCGGUAAUACGUAGGGUGCAAGCGUUAAUCGGAAUUACUGGGCGUAAAGCGUGCGCAGGCGGUUCGGAAAGAAAGAUGUGAAAUCCCAGAGCUUAACUUUGGAACUGCAUUUUUAACUACCGGGCUAGAGUGUGUCAGAGGGAGGUGGAAUUCCGCGUGUAGCAGUGAAAUGCGUAGAUAUGCGGAGGAACACCGAUGGCGAAGGCAGCCUCCUGGGAUAACACUGACGCUCAUGCACGAAAGCGUGGGGAGCAAACA
rnacentral:rRNA from 1 species